CCCUUAGAUGUUCUGGGCCGCACGCGCGCUACACUGACGAAUGCAACGAGCUUAUAACCUUGUCCGAAAGGUCUGGGUAAUCUCCAAAUUUCGUCGUGAUGGGGAUAGAUUAUUGCAAUUAUUAAUCUUCAACGAGGAAUGCCUAGUAAGCGCAAGUCAUCAGCUUGCGUUGAUUACGUCCCUGCCCUUUGUACACACCGCCCGUCGCUCCUACCGAUUGAAUGGUCCGGUGAAGCGUUCGGACCGUGGCCUUUGGACGGUUCGCCGUCUGUUGGCUGCGGGAAGUUCGUUAAGCCUUAUCAUUUAGAGGAAGGAGAAGUCGUAACA
rnacentral:rRNA from 1 species